GAGGCUGCAGACCUGGAGCCGGUAGAUAUAGGCCCCAAGCAGUUUUACGCCCCAAGCAGUUUUACGCCCCUGUUGUUCCUCAUGCGUCCAGUAGGGGGAGGCUGUAUAUUAGUACAUGAGCCUAGUCAUCAAAACAGCAGACCAUAUCUGUAUGAUAGCGGCAGACAUUUUUUGAAGCGAUACGAAAUGAGCUUGCGUGACAUGGCUUCUUCUGGGGAAGAAAUAAUAUCCAUACAGAGAGGUUGCAACUUACCUGCGCUUAACAGAUGCACCUCCUGCUGUUCCCUAUUUCACUGUCCUUUCUGUAUUUCUGAUUUUUUCAAGCCCUCAAAGAAAAGUAAAGUACAAACUCAUCUUAAGCUUCACUUUUCUAGGGCAGUCGUCCAUGAAGGUAGCAUCAUUUUGUUGUAAAAAAAAAAAAACAACAACAACAAAAAACUAAACAUGCAAAAUGAUGCUUGGCUUAUUUGGGCAGUGAUAAAUCUCAAUUCUUUCUCUGGUAGUCCAUCAUCUGUGCUCUUGCUGUUGUGGAACAUGUGUCCAUCAUGGAGGCUGAGGAGAAAUUCCUGCGAGGACCUGUCAUUGACGCAAGUGAGCGGGAGCACUUUGACAGCAGGAUAAAAAAAAAACAAUUAAAGAAGAGUAGCAAGCCAUAGGAGAGUCUACAGGAGUCAUGCAGAAUCUACAGGAAGAAAUAAGUCAUGGUGUUAAUAAAUAUUUUUGUGAACAACAAUAUUGUCUCUUUCUUUUAAAUGACCCUUGGAAUUUUAGAAAAGGGUUACAUUGUGUUUGUCUUCAUAAAAUGCUAUGUAGGACAUGUUUUG